UAAAAUAAUUUAAGUUUCAAGAUUUCUUGGAAUUAAAAAUGGGUUGUCCAGUUUUUGUGGUCGCCUAAAAUGCAAGACAAGCUCAUUUCUUGGGUUGCGUGAUACUUUCAGUUACCUCGUGACAUAACCAGGAAUUUUCGAGCGUGUUGGAAAUUUCGCACGAGAUAAAUUUUAUUUAUCUCGUGCGAAAUAUAAAUUGAA
rnacentral:misc_RNA from 1 species